UACGUAGGGGGCAAGCGUUGUCCGGAUUUAUUGGGCGUAAAGAGCGUGUAGGCGGCCAGGUAGGUCUGCUGUGAAAACUCGAGGCUCAACCUCGAGAGGUCGGUGGAAACCGUCUGGCUAGAGUCCGGAAGAGGAGAGUGGAAUUCCCGGUGUAGUAGUGAAAUGCGUAGAUAUCGGGAGGAACACCAGUGGCGAAGGCGGCCUUCUGGCUCGCAACUGACGCUGUAGCGCGAAAGCGUGGGGAGCGAACGGG
rnacentral:rRNA from 1 species